GGAGCCGUGGCUCAGCGGCAGAGCCUCUGCUUGGAAAGCAGGAGGUCCCAGGUUCGAGCCUUGCCAGCUCCA